GACGGAGGAUGCAAGUGUUAUCCGGAAUCACUGGGCGUAAAGCGUCUGUAGGUGGUUCGAAAAGUCCACUGUUAAAAAUUGAGGCUUAACUUCAAAGAUGCCGUGGAAACUUUCAAACUAGAGUAUGGCAGGGGUAGAGGGAAUUUCCAGUGGAGCGGUGAAAUGCGUAGAUAUUGGAAAGACCACCGAUGGCGAAGGCACUCUACUGGGCCAUUACUGACACUGAGAGACGAAAGCUAGGGGAGCAAAUGGG
rnacentral:rRNA from 1 species